rnacentral:rRNA from 1 species
CCUACGGGAGGCAGCAGUGGGGAAUAUUGCGCCAUGUGGGCAACCCUGACGCAGCAACGCCGCGUGAUUGAAGAAGGCCUUCGGGUUGUAAAGAUCUUUAAUCGGGGACGACUUUUGACGGUACCCGAAGAAUAAGCUCCGGCUAACUACGUGCCAGCAGCCGCGGUAAUACGUAGGGAGCAAGCGUUAUCCGGAUUUACUGGGUGUAAAGGUCUUUGAGACGGGCAUGCAAGCCAGAAGUGAAAUCUGGGGGCUUAACCCCCAAACUGCUUUUGUAACCGCGUGUCUUGAGUGAUGGAGAGGCAGGCGGAAUUCCCAGUGGAGCGGUGAAAUUCGUAGAUAUUGGGAGGAACACCAGUGGAGAAGGCGGCCUGCUGGACAUUAACUGACGCUGAGGCGCGAAAGCGUGGGCAGCAAACAGGAUUAGAUACCCGUGUAGUC